rnacentral:rRNA from 1 species
AGCGAACGCUGGCGGCAGGCUUAACACAUGCAAGUCGAGCGCUCCGCAAGGGGAGCGGCCGACGGGCGAGUAACACGUGGGAACGUACCCUUUGGUUCGGAACAACCCAGGGAAACUUGGGCUAAUACCGGAUAAUUCCGUAAGGAGAAAGAUUUAUCGCCGAAGGAUCGGCCCGCGGCUGAUUAGCUUGUUGGUGAGGUAACGGCUCACCAAGGCGACGAUGAGUAGCUGGUCUGGGAGGAUGAUCAGCCUCACUGGGACUGCGCCACGGCCCAGACUCGUACGAGAGGCAGCAGUGGGUAAUAUUGGACAAUGGGGGCAACCCUGAUCCAGCCAUGCCGCGUGGGUGAUGAAGGCCUUAGGGUUGUAAAGCCCUUUCGGCGGGGGAGAUAAUGACGGUACCCGCAGAAGAAGCCCCGGCUAACUGCGUGCCAGCAGCCGCGGUAA